rnacentral:siRNA from 1 species
UGGAGAAGCGUCCUCAGCGAC